AAGACUGUACUUUCAGGGAUCAUUUCUAUAGGUUUUUACUUGAGAAAUGUGUUUCUAGAGUGUAUGAUCUCGCUAACCACGAUGAUGAGUUGUGAUAUUCCCUUUUGAGCAUGAAACUGAUGGAGUAGUGCUGUGCUGCACGUUUUUUUGUCAUUGAUAAUUGCUUAUUGCUCUACUGUGGAGCAGUAAGAGAGAGAAUAUGAUCAGAGUGGU
ensembl:snoRNA U3 Small nucleolar RNA U3